GCCCUACGGGGCGCAGCAGGCGCGAAAACUUUACAAUGCGGGCAACCGUGAUAAGGAAACCCCGAGUGCCAGCAUAGGUUGGCUGUCCGCCAGUGUAAAAAACUGGUGAAGAAAGGGCCGGGCAAGACCGGUGCCAGCCGCCGCGGUAAUACCGGCGGCUCGAGUGGUGGCCGCUAUUACUGGGCUUAAAGGGUCCGUAGCUUGAGGAUUGGGUCCCUUGAGAAAUCCACCGGCUUAACUGGUGGGCGUUCAGGGGAAACUGGUCUUCUAGGGACCGGGAGAGGUGAGAGGUACUGCCGGGGUAGGAGUGAAAUCCUGUAAUCCCGGUGGGACCACCUAUGGCGAAGGCAUCUCACCAGAACGGCUCCGACAGUGAGGGACGAAAGCUGGGGGAGCAAACCGGAUUAGAUACCCGGGUAGUCCCAGCUGAAAACGAUGCGCGUUAGGUGUGUCAGUGACCACGCGUCACUGAGGUGCCGAAGGGAAACCGUGAAACGCGCCGCCUGGGGAGUACGGUCGCAAGGCUGAAACCUAAAGGAAUUGGCGGGGGAGCACCACAACGGGUGGAGCCUGCGGUUUAAUCGGACUCAACGCCGGAAAGCUCACCGGA
rnacentral:rRNA from 1 species